rnacentral:pre_miRNA from 1 species
CUAGGUACGUGACAGAAGUUGAGUCUAGUUGAGACUGAUAUGUUUCUCACCGGGCAACAACUUCUGUCUCGUGGUAGUAG